rnacentral:lncRNA from 1 species
AUGAUGAACAUUCCUCUUCUCAGUGAGGGAGAGAAGGCCGAUCUGACAUGUUCAGCUCCUUUUCCUUGUCCUAAAAAUCCUCCAAAUAUAACAUGGUGGAUCAGGAAAAGAGACGGAAAAAUCAGUGAUUUAAAGGAAAACAUCACUCUGAGCCCCUCCAAAAACCUUUCCCUCUCAACUUUGACUCUAACUCCAACCUGUGACGAUCACAAUGCCACUAUAGGAUGUGACGUGAGCUACGGAAGCAAAAUCAUCAGUACAAAUAGGACCCUCGAAGUCACGUGUGUUACAACUGAUUCAAAAGGGAACAAGCCCUCUAGUCCUAAAGGUAAAAACAACACACAGAAUGACAUCAGCAAUACUACAGGUAAUACUGAGCAUGUACAUACUGCAGAAACUGCAUCUUUAUUUCAGGGUGAAUAUGAUUUAGCCAUUUAGGAUAUUUUUCUUGUUUGACAUUGUUGCAGAACAACACUGCUCUCAACCAAUCAGAUUUAGGGUGAUGGUUAAGUUUAGGAUUAGGGCUGGGGUUGAGGACUAAACAAAAGUAUUAUUAAACUAAUAUUUCCUUCUUAUUUUACAUUCAAGAUAAAGCGGCUUUUCAAGUGCAUGUGGACAUCAAAAUGAUAACAGCAUUUCUGAUGGGAAUGUCAACUUCAGCAGUCAUCUUCUCUGUGGUUUUGUGCUGUCAAGGGUCCUGGAAAAGGUAUCACCUACAUAUAUAAGUGAAAAGCUAAAAUGUGCAACACUUUCAACAAAAUGCAUAGAUUUUAUAUACUGAUCAUAUAAAGGUGUUUGGCAUGCUUGUUUGAUUAAGUUUCUGGUUGAUGAGAAAUCAUGUGAAUACUGUCAUCUGUAAACAGACACUCAUUAUUUUAAUAUGACACUCAAAUAAUUUACUGUGCUUUGAUUCUGUCUUAUUGCCUACACUCUUAAAAAUAAAGGUGCUUUAAAGGUUCUUAACAGUGAUGCCACACUGUAAACCCCGACAAGUUAACUUAACUCAAACCGUUUGAGUAAACAGGUUGCCUUGAUUUAAACCAUGUAAGUUUUAAAACUUUGCAUUCAAGUAAUUAAGUGAUUAACUAAGUGCUGAUUGUGAAUUAGUGAUGAACAGCUGCUGUUAACAAACAGAAUCACUGAAGAAAAGAGAAACACAAGAACUACUACAACUGACUUCAGACACAGACUUAGAUGAAAUCAACUGAAAUAAAAUACAUGAAAUCUCUCAAGAUCUGAUUAAACAACCCACAAACAGCAUCAGCAGCUCCACUUAUUAAUAACCAGACUGACUUUAUUUCUGUCAGACGUCUACAGAAGAUCUUAUUGAGAAUGAACUAAGGUUUAGAUGUUGAUUUAUUGUUUCAUUUGAAGUAACCAUGUUAGAGAUCACUGUUUGCUUUAGUUGUGCUCUUGACCCCUGCCUUAGUCUUUUUUCUGGCUGUUAUAACCGUGUGUUUCUAAAACACAUUUGUUGUAACUCAAAAGCCCAGAAGAAAUGCCAUCAGGUGUUAACCUGUUAGAGUUGUGACGUUCGCGAACGAACCGAUUCUUUUGAACGGCUCAUAAACAUGAACGAUGGGAGCCGAGUCGCGACUGGAGAGGAGCCGUUCUUUCUAUCGUUCUUUUUUCCUAUGCGUGUUCAUACAAAUGAGCUCCGCCAGGAGACAGAACAGUUAUAGGGGGAGGGGCGCACCCAGCGCAGGCCAACCCUUUAUAGCGUGAUGAUAUUAGUUAUUAGUUGUGCAUGCAUUUACAUUGCAUUUUGUGUUCAUUUAAAACUUAUUUUAAAAUCAUUAAAAAUGUUCUUUUGUGAUACUGUACUUGUAUAGAAAUUUUUCACUAAAAGCUGUUUUCCACAGACAUUCAUUGCAGCCCACUUUGUUAUUGUUCAUUGACUUGAAGGGGUUGAUGUCCUAUUUGCAAAGUUUACAGUAGUAAUAGUAUGUAGUAUGUAGACAUUUCCAUUUUAUUUAUUCUAAUUUUAUCUACUUUAAAAAAAAAUAGUUUUCUAUCAAAAUGUUCUUGUGUGAUAACAAUGUUCUUGUGUGGAAGUGUUUGUAGUAAAAGCUGUUUUGCACAGAAAUUCAUUGCAGCCGGCUUCGUUUUUUAUGUUUAUUUGUGAGUAGGUAUUGUAUGAAUAACAUAAGUCAACGUAGUUUUACACACACACACACACUUUGUACUAAAGGUAAAUCAAAAUAAUGAUGUCACUGUCUAAGCAGAGGGAUUUGUGCAACCCUAUGGAAUAUAGUCCACACAUGAGAAAUGAGGUAACAAUCAAUAUUUCAGAAUAAUUCAAACUCAGAUAUUGGUGUGUGAUAUCUGAGCUUUAAUUAUUUGACUAACAAAUCUCACCUCAUAAUACCUCCCAGUGAUUAUUUCCAGGAUAAACUGAGAUGCUCCCAAGCUGGCUUCUUAAAACUGACUAAAUAUUUAAAAAGAGCCAAAAGAGCCAUUCUUUUGAACGGCUCUUUGAAAGGAACGGAUCGCGAAGAUCCGGAUCCCCUCAAAGAGCC